AUUUAUAUAGUUUAAUCAAAAACAUUACAUUUUCACUGUAAAAAUAAAAUAUUUAAUUUUUAUAAAUA
rnacentral:tRNA from 1 species